CUUCAAACAUUUUGGCGGGAUACCCUGCUCGUACAUUUGUGACUCCCGUUACUAAAGUAGUAAUUUCAAGAUGGCGUCGAGUAUAGGUUACUCCUUAUUUGACUACGAUUGAAUAUAAUCGAAGAUCAAUCUUAAUGUUGGAUUGUCUGUUGUGAUAGUUGAUGUUAAGCCUCGUUGGAAGAUCGUUUGGUUUCGUUGGGGAAAGAAAAAAUGGAUGAAUGAAA